GUUGAUUUUGGACUUCAGGUAAGAGUGGAGAGUUGCUUACUGACCCUUUGAUGCCUACAAAAUAUAAAACAUGGUGCUUUAGUAUAAGUGGGUGAAGCUCUGAAAUUCUCUCCAGUCCUAACUUUUCUGCUUUUUCUUCUGUCAGAAUUUCCUCAGUUACUUAAAAACAGAAGGAAAAGCAGGAGGACUAUGCUGACCACACUCUGGGUAACCAAAAGCUAACUCUUCUAGGUUGUCUUUUCUGGAUACUGUCAUGUUUUCCUGCCUGACUUACUCAUUUGUUCCUGGUUUAGAGACGUUCAAUAUCUCUUUGAUUUCAUGACAAGUUGGGUCAUACCAAUGUGAAGACAGCAAAGAGGAUAUCACAUGCUCUAGGGAUGGCAUCCCACUUACAUGGUCUAUCUACCACAGUGACUUUUGGAUAUCCAAGAUUCUG
rnacentral:lncRNA from 1 species